CAUGGGGUAGUUUAUAAUAAAACAAUGGAUUGCAAAUCCUUAAAUACCAGGGAGGUCCUCGUGU
rnacentral:tRNA from 1 species